rnacentral:lncRNA from 1 species
UCCAACUUCAUCAACCGAACCACCAUGAGCCACCCUAGAGAGGAAUCGAACCACCGCAACUCAGUGAGGAAGAAGCUAGGGAUUCGGUUCCCGUUACCACCUUGUCACGAUGAGAAAGGAGAGGAAAUUGAGGCCAUCACACCUCAAUACCAUUGCUGAUUGGAAAGAGAGAAGUAAGAAGAGAUGAGUGAUGAAAACCAAAGAGAUUGGGAAGGAAUGAGGACCUUUUUUCGGCCGUGAAUGAGAACCGAACCACCGUAAGCCCCGAUGAUUCUUAAUCACCGCUACCGCAACGCUUCAAGCCGAGACACCACCGAAGAAGAGAAAAGAGGGAGAUUUCGUUCGAUGCGUCUCGAAGAGAAAGGGAUUCUCUUCGUCGAUCCCCUCCAACANN